CCUACGGGAGGCUGCAGUGAGGAAUAUUGGUCAAUGGACGAGAGUCUGAACCAGCCACGUAGCGUGAAGGAUGACUGCCCUAUGGGUUGUAAACUUCUUUUAUAUGGGAAUAAAACGUUCCACUUGUGGGAUUUUGUAUGUACCAUAUGAAUAAGGAUCGGCUCACUCCGUGCCAGCAGCCGCGGUAAUACGGAGGAUCCGAGCGUUAUCCGGAUUUAUUGGGUUUAAAGGGAGCGUAGGUGGAUUGUUAAGUCAGUUGUGAAAGUUUGCGGCUCAACCGUAAAAUUGCAUUUGAAACUGGCAGUCUUGAGUACAGUAGAGGUGGGCGGAAUUCGUGGUGUAGCGGUGAAAUGCUUAGAUAUCACGAAGAACUCCGAUUGCGAAGGCAGUUCACUGGACUGCAACUGACACUGAGGCUCGAAAGUGUGGGUAUCAAACAGGAUUAGAUACCCGGGUAGUC
rnacentral:rRNA from 1 species